GAUGAAGAACGCAGCGAAAUGCGAUAAGUAAUGUGAAUUGCAGAAUUCAGUGAAUCACCGAAUCUUUGAACGCACAUUGCGCCCCCUGGUAUUCCGGGGGGCAUGCCUGUCCGAGCGUCAUUACAACCCUCAAGCUCAGCUUGGUGUUGGGCCCCGCCGCCCCGGCGGGCCCUAAAGUCAGUGGCGGUGCCGUCCGGCUCCGAGCGUAGUAAUUCUUCUCGCUCUGGAGGUCCGGUCGUGUGCUCGCCAGCAACCCCCAAUUUUUUUCAGGUUGACCUCGGAUCAGGUAGGGAUACCCGCUGAACUUAAGCAUAUCAAUAAGCGGAGGA
rnacentral:misc_RNA from 1 species